AUUGAACGCUGGCGGCAUGCCUUACACAUGCAAGUCGAACGGCAGCACGGGAGCUUGCUCCUGGUGGCGAGUGGCGAACGGGUGAGUAAUGCAUCGGAACGUGCCCUGAAGUGGGGGAUAACGUAGCGAAAGUUACGCUAAUACCGCAUAUUCUGUGAGCAGGAAAGCAGGGGACCUUCGGACCUUGCGCUUUUGGAGCGGCCGAUGUCGGAUUAGCUAGUUGGUGGGGUAAAGGCCCACCAAGGCGACGAUCCGUAGCGGGUCUGAGAGGAUGAUCCGCCACACUGGAACUGAGACACGGUCCAGACUCCUACGGGAGGCAGCAGUGGGGAAUUUUGGACAAUGGGCGCAAGCCUGAUCCAGCCAUGCCGCGUGAGUGAAGAAGGCCUCGGGUUGU
rnacentral:rRNA from 1 species